AUUUUUCCCAACAGAUGUGACCUCGGGAGGCUGUCAAGAGAGAGAGAGAGAGAGUUUUAACUAGGGCAAGAGGAGUUGUUUUGUGGGAAUGGAUUUUUACAAAUUUUUUUUUUUUUAGGUAAAUCGAAGUAAAUGAUUUUCUAAAGAUGAUCCCCAGAGACCUGCUUUUCCGGCCACUCCGCAGCAGCCGGGAGAGGGUGCCCUGGCCCCCGCACGGCCGGGACAGAGGUGAGAGGCGGGACGCACACCAACUUCACUACGUGCGAUUUCUAAGGCUCGAGAAAGGACCUGACAUUUUACUCCCCCCGCCCCCCGCCCCAGAACUCCGAUUGCUUUUGAGUAUUACUCAGAAUAAAGGUGGGGGCAGGGAGGUAAUUGUUUGCUCUCUUGCAAGGUCACAAAAAUUUUUUUAAAGACUAGUUUUAUUUUUCUUGCCAAUUAACUAAGAAAUAAAACUGUCUGACCCGUGGAAUUGAUUCAGACAGAAAGCCAGAUUGCCUGACCCUUCCAGUUUGCAGUUUUCCCAACGCAUCGACUUUGGCCCUGGGGACAACACCCCUGGGGAGCGGCACAUUUUCAAAGCCACCCUCCCAGGGGCCCCAGGCCUGGCGCUCUGAGCUUCCUCUGAGAGCCCCAGCUGGUCUGGGAAAGUGGGGGAUAUUAGGGGACGCAGAGGAAGAAGGGCACCGCAAGAGCUGGCGAAGGCCUCCACAAUGCUCCAGGUAGGCGGUCGUGUCCUUAGAAGUUGUUUCCUUUCCUUUCUUUUUUUUCUUUUCUUUUUCUUUUCCUAACACCUCUCUCUUCCUUGGGGAUUGGCUAAUCUGGAACGAAAUCGUUCCUCUCGGGAUCAUUUAGACCCGGGGAGUGGCCCCUCCGGAGCGAGCCUGCCUCCCCGAGCGGCCCUCAUCCCUGGAGGGGGGCUGGCUCCCGGGCGCGGCCUGUCCCCAGGGCUGAUUUAUUUGGGCCGCGCGCGCCACACCGCUCUUCGCCACUCGAAACCAGCCGAACUCAGCCGCCAAUCGGGCGGGGGGCGGGGGCCUGGCGUCCAAACGGGGAAGGGUGACCGGGGCGGGGGGGGGGGGGUGCCGUCGUGCGCCGCUUCCGGAGGAGCCGCGAGACCCGGAGAGGACGCGCGAUCACCCCCGCAAACGGCAGCGCAUCCUCUGUCAUUUCACCGAUCUCGGGUGCUCCAGCGACGUUUCAGGAAGAAAAUGAAUACAUGCGAUUUCUAACUUAACAGCAUGGUUUUAAUUCGAGAGUUUUUUUUUCUUUUUCUUUUUUGGUUUUGGUUUUUAUUUUUCAAACCAGAUUUAUGGGACCUUCUCGCUUGUACCAUAUUUCUUCCCGCCCCGGGGACGCUCUGGGCGAAGGACACGGGGUCACCUAGGCACCCCCCUCCACCCCCGCCAGCGCCUGGGCCCACUCGCCGGGUCGAGAUGGCGCGUCCCCCCGAUUUGACUCCACCGCCGUCACUCCGACGCAGGUCAUCGCCCAGAGAGUCCUGACAGUGAUGGUGAUGGGGUUUGUUGUUUUGUUUUAAUUCUCUAAAAGCCCGAAAUACUGCUUAGAAACGUCAGGUGGCGGCGGCUGCGGAAGCGUGGGCCGCGCGCAGCCUGGAGGUGGCCCCACCAAGUGCCCUGGGCCCCCCAGCCCCCUGCCCGCCGCCGCGUCCCGGGCUCCGGGCCCCAGGCGCUGGCGAUCGCGGCCCCGCAGCCCCGGGCCGACCCCGCGCGCCGCCGGCGGCCGCCAGCGCGGCGCGGAGGUGGGCGCGCGAAAGGUCACCGCGGUGGCAUUCCUCUCCGCGCGCUGUUUACGUGACUUAAUGUACUUCGUCCGCCGCGGCUUGUUAUCUAGGCCACCCAAUGACCGACGAAAGAUUUUCUCCCUCGCUGCUUCUCCCCAGGCCGCUUUAAACCAAAUAAAUUUAGCUAUUAAGGGCCAAGAUGUCUGACAAAAGAUCGAAAGGUGUCUCUCCGUGAUCGCUUAAAGAAGCGAAGGAGAAGCUUGCGGCUCCAUCUCGAUAAAGACAUUCCACACCGGCGCCGGCCUCCCUCCCCGCGGCCUGCUUGCGUCCCGACACCCUGACAGUCCCCACUUGGCGGCCCAGACCUCGGAUGGGCCGGGAGGGACCUGCGGCCGCUGCCCGGCCGAAGAGUGCUAGGCCCUGGGGACCCGGGAGAGCCGGGGACUCCGGGCCUGAGCUGGACUCCCCAAACGUGCCCUCCCCCGCCCCCCGCACUAGACUGAAGACCUAAACCGAGCUCAUGCAUGCUAAGUCGCUUCAAUCGUGUCCAACUCUUUUGUGACCCUUUGGACUGUGGCCCGCCAGGCUCCUCUGUCCAUGGGAUUCUCCAGGCAAGAAUACUGGAGUGGGUUGUCAAUUCCUCCUUCAGGGGAUCUCCGGACCCAGGGAUCGAACACGGAGCUCCCGCAUUGCAGGCAGAUUCUUCACCGUCUGUGCCCCCAGGGAAGCCCCAAAUUAGCUCCCAUUGGAAUUAUUUGCUGAUGCUGAAUUUAUACUACAAAGCCAAACCACUCCUAACCUCUUGCCCACUUCUGCGGUUUUGCUGAGGGGCAGUGUUACACCGCAUCAAUGAUCCUCCGAAGCAGACCUGUUGAACCCCAGUCAAAAUGUAGUGUGUGGAAGGGACCCGGCGUCUGGAUCACACGGAGGCUAAUGGGGAGGGUGUGGACAGCAGAACGACAGUGUGCACGUGGGAGGCAACAAUUCGAAUAUUCAGGCAUCCCCAAGUUGAGUUGGGUUAUGAAGUGUGGUAUAUAUUAUUAUUAAUUACUGCUGUAAUCACUGCAUAAAGCCUUGGACUGCCAGCCAUGCUGAGGCCCGCCCCUGAGUGAUGCCUUCCCCUUCACCAAAGGUGAAGCAAAGAAUAUCCAAUUUCCUGAUCAAGGGCUGAAAACUGGGCUGUGCGAGUCAGAUGCUGUGUUUUCGGUUUCCUCCACUGAGUCGCUGCUUCAUCCCCUAAGUGAAUGACAACUCCACCCUUCAGGUCCACCUGAGCCUUUUUUAACCUCUUUGAAAUGGGCUUCCCAGCUGUCUCAGCUGUAAAGAACCUAUCUGCCAAUGCAGGAGGUUUAAUCCCUGGGUGAGGGAGAUUCCCUAGAGGAUAAAAUGGCAAUCCACUCCAGUAUUCUUGCCUGGGAAAUCCCGUGGAGAAAGAACCCUGGUGGGCUACAGUCCAUCGGUUCGCAAAAGAGUCGGACCUGACUGAGCCACCGAACAAACAUGCACCACUUUGAAAUAUGGCAAGGCAAGAAACUGGGGGUAGAAGCUGAGAACCCUCUUGGAAUCCCUGCUAUGGGGCCUCUUCCCACAUCUUCUGCCCUUUCAAUCAUCUCUUCUCUGGCAGCGUUAGAGACAAGACUCAAUUUUGAAAGGCCAUUGAGCAUCUUCAGCUUCUGUUUGUCAUCUCAUGCUGGGCUCCAGGAAUUAAAGAUGCUUUUUUUCUCA